rnacentral:tRNA from 1 species
GCGAGUAUAGUUUAGUGGUAAAAUCCAAGCAUUCCAAGCUUGUGUCGUGAGUUCAAAUCUCGCUAUUCGCU